UGGCAAGAAAAUUGAUGAGCUUGCAAAGCAAAGAAGCUUCAAAGAGGUUGGCCCCUGGAAAAAAAGCAUCGUGAAUCACCUUUACUGGUGUGGAGCCUCAUCAUCAUCAGGAAAGGAAAUUGUUGCAAAAUGGAGAUCUGUUGUUAACCAUGUACAAGAUAUCCAUGAGCAUGAAGGUGAAUUCCAAAGAUGCCAGCAUCCUCCUCUUGUUGGUGACCAGGCAAGACAGUGGCUUAAACCAAGUACUGCUGCAUGUGAAAAGCUCACUCAGGUCAUCUUGGCACCCAAGUUGCUGAAAGACCUAGAGAACCUAAGUUCUGACUUCCAGACGUCAGGACUGGAGUCAUAUCACAGUCUGAUCCUCAAGUUUGCACCAAAGAGCGUGGCAUUCUCUUUUGUGGGGAUGCUGUGCCGGACUCAACUUGCAGCCAUGCACUACAAUGAAAAUAGCGGAAGACCACAAGCAACAACAGCUGCAGGGGAGCUCCGAUG